rnacentral:lncRNA from 1 species
AAUUCUUUAGUAAUUUGGUAUUAGAAAACUAUUUUAUGUAAAAUAUAGAAUAACAUAAAUAAAUAUAAUAAUACAUAAUAUGUUAAUAUUUUUAGAACCAAGAUUUUCAAUAUAAAAAGAAAGAAAGGUGUAAGUAUAAAACCAAAUAAUUUAAUUAAAAAUUAUGUAAUGCUAUAUUUUAAUUGGAACUAUUACGUCUGAAGAGCCAAAGAAACACGUUCUCCCAAAUUUUGUCCACAGCAAAGCCUAGAAGUAAAAACAAUCUUGGUAAAUUGCAUUAUUUGUUCAAACCAUUAUCUGUCUCUUUCUACUAGAUCCAUUCCUGCAGGACCCCUGUCAGGCACCCCUUCCUAUGGGAGAAGCAAACUUUCCAGGAAGAGCAGUAUCACAGCUUGGAGAAAUGCUUACCUAAUGUGUAAGCAGGUGCUGCUCUGGAUGCCAGUCUAAAGACCCGAUUCAUUAAGUUCUGCCACGCCAGUACUGCACUCUAUGUGACGAGAAAACCAAGAAGAAACAGGCUGGAAUAAAUGUUUUUGAAAAAACCCUUUCUAUAUUACUGGAGAUGAGGGCAGGGAAGGAGACCAUUGCUGAGAGUGAGGACCUGGCUGAUGCAUCUUUUGCUGAAGAAAGCUCCAGAAUGUAUGCCUGGGUAACUUUGGAUAAUUUGGAAAAUGUAGCCCAAUUCAUGGGCUGGAAACUGAUCAAUCUAUCAAGAUUCCUCCUCCUUGGGGAGGAAGUCAGUGAGGAGAGGAUCAUUGAGAAGCUUUGAGAUAUUUCCCCUGGGAGUCAUUGUCUAGCUUGCGAUCUCCAAUGCAUGAGCACUCCCAGCAUGGAUGUUUCUUGUGGUGAUGUCAGAAGACGGGACUUUGUGAGGAACCCCAGUCUUUUUUCCUCUUAUCAACAGCAGUAUCAAGGUGAGAGGCUCUCACUCGAGCAAGCAGCAAGAUGUCAAGAAGAUACCUCCCUAUCUUAGGGACCCUGGUCAAGAGAGGAGGAAAUUGGCAAAUAUGGGAAGAUAAGGGAGUACUGGACACACACAACUCACCCUAGGAACACUUUAGCCAGAUUGAACAACAAUUUAAAGGAAACCCAAGGUCUUGAAGCAGCAGACAAGGAUUAAAACCAGGGUUACAGGAAUUAUACUUAAUUUGAAUAAUCCUUGGUAGACAUAAAAGUGUUUAUCUGCUCAUAAAUAUAUUUGAAUUUCAUGAAUCUCACACUUGAAAACAAACUCGGUAAAUACACUUUCAAAUACUUACUCCUCAGUUCAACACAGGCACAUUAAUCAAGACAUUAUCCUUGGAAUGAGAAAUGCAGCACAAACUUGGUGCUUCCUUCUUCCCUUCAGAUUUAGUUGGAAUCCAGUCCUCCUUCCUAAGAUGGUAAUUUGAAUUUAUGUUUUCCAAU